rnacentral:lncRNA from 1 species
UUGGAUCAGGUUCUUAAGAACCAAGGAUGGAUACAGCUCUGCGUACAUCAUAGGAAUCAGGUAAAAAGAGACCUUCUUCCUCUCAAAGUUCUGCUGCUGCUGAUGAUUGUUGUUGGUAUUGUUGUUGUUAUAGGUGUUUGUUCUUUGUUGCGGUUGUUGUUAUUGACGCUGAUUUUGUUGUUGUUGUUGAAUGGGUGUUGCUUGCUGAUUAGAAAAUACCGGAAUAACGGAAGAUGCUUGAUGAUGAUGAUGUU